rnacentral:rRNA from 1 species
CAGUAGCCGCGGUAAUACGUAGGUGGCAAGCGUUGUCCGGAAUUAUUGGGCGUAAAGGGCUCGCAAGCGGUUUCUUAAGUCUGAUGUGAAAGCCCCCGGCUCAACCGGGGAGGGUCAUUGGAAACUGGGAAACUUGAGUGCAGAAGAGGAGAGUGGAAUUCCACGUGUAGCGGUGAAAUGCGUAGAGAUGUGGAGGAACACCAGUGGCGAAGGCGACUCUCUGGUCUGUAACUGACGCUGAGGAGCGAAAGCGUGGGGAGCGAACAGGAUUAGAUACCCCAGUAGUCCCUGUCUCUUAUAC